UACGGAGGGAACUAGCGUUGUUCGGAUUUACUGGGCGUAAAGGGCGCGUAGGCGGUUUAUUAAGUUAGAAGUGAAAGCCCAGGGCUUAACCCUGGAACUGCUUCUAAAACUGGUAAGCUAGAGUACGGGAGAGGAUAGUGGAAUUCCUAGUGUAGAGGUGAAAUUCUUAGAUAUUAGGAGGAACACCGGUGGCGAAAGCGACUAUCUGGAACGUUACUGACGCUGAGCGCGAAAGCGUGGGGAGCAAACAGGAUU
rnacentral:rRNA from 1 species